rnacentral:rRNA from 1 species
UACAGAGGUCCCAAGCGUUGUUCGGAUUCAUUGGGCGUAAAGGGUGCGUAGGUGGCGUGGUAAGUUUGAUGUGAAAGCUCAGGGCUUAACCCUGAAAUGGCAUUGAAUACUACUGUGCUGGAGGUUUGGAGGGGGGACUGGAAUUCUUGGUGUAGCAGUGAAAUGCGUAGAUAUCAAGAGGAACACCAGUGGCGAAGGCGAGUCCCUGGACAACACCUGACACUGAGGCACGAAAGCUAGGGGAGCAAACAGG